UACGUAGGGGCCUAGCGUUGUCCGGAAUCAUUGGGCGUAAAGAGCGCGUAGGCGGCCCGGUAAGUCCGCUGUAAAAGUCAAAGGCUUAACCUUUGAAAGUCAGUGGAUACUGCCGGGCUAGAGUCCGGAAGAGGCGAGUGGAACUCCUGGUGUAGCGGUGGAAUGCGCAGAUAUCAGGAAGAACACCAACGGCGAAGGCAGCUCGCUGGGACGGAACUGACGCUGAGGCGCGAAAGCGUGGGGAGCGAACAGG
rnacentral:rRNA from 1 species